rnacentral:rRNA from 1 species
AUGAACGCUGGCGGCGUGCCUAAUACAUGCAAGUCGAGCGAACAGACGAGGAUCUUGCUCCUCUGACGUUAGCGGCGGACGGGUUAGUAACACGUGGAUAACCUACCUAUAAGACUGGGAUAACUUCGGGAAACCGGAGCUAAUACCGGAUAAUAUAUUGAACCGCCUGGUUCAAUAGUGAAAGACGGUUUUGCUGUCACUUAUAGAUGGAUCCGCGCCGCAUUAGCUAGUUGGUAAGGUAACGGCUUACCAAGGCAACGAUGCGUAGCCGACCUGAGAGGGUGAUCGGCCACACUGGAACUGAGACACGGUCCAGACUCCUACGGGAGGCAGCAGUAGGGACUCUUCCGCAAUGGGCGAAAGCCUGACGGAGCAACGCCGCGUGAGUGAUGAAGGUCUUCGGAUCGUAAAACUCUGUUAUUAGGGAAGAACAAAUGUGUAAGUAACUAUGCACGUCUUGACGGUACCUAAUCAGAAAGCCACGGCUAACUACGUG